rnacentral:rRNA from 1 species
ACUCCUUCUAAAGCUAAAUAUCACCACGAGACCGAUAGCGAACAAGUACCGUGAGGGAAAGUUGAAAAGCACUCUGAAUAGAGAGUCAAAAAGUACGUGAAACUGCCUAGGGCUCAAGCCCGUUGAACUCGAUUAUCCGAGCGGAGACAUUCACCUGCGGUUGGCCGGCGACGGCAGACCGCAGGGCACUUGUCUGCCGCGUCCACGAGGACAUUGCGAUCCAUUACGAAACAGCUCUAGCGUCGCGAGACGCAAGGUCGCCCGACGGUUGCCCCCUGGUGCCGGUUGCUUGCCCCACAGUAGCGACGCUCAGUUCUGAAGGCCUGUGCCGCGAGGUGGGGCUUACUGCACGUGGUGUUUGCAGUCGGGCGCGUGAUGGAUUUCCGCGCACACCGCCGGCCUUCCCGCAGCGGGCCGGCGGACGGUCGAUCGGCAAUGAUAAAAUCGAGGUACCUCCGGGACCCGUCUUGAAACACGGACCAAGAAGUCUAUCUUGCGCGCGAGCCAAUGGUCGUCCUCCGGAACACCAAAGGCGCAAAAAACAUAACUUGAGUUGUGCGGGAUUACGGGCGCGGCUCUCUGCAGCGUCCCUCCAUCCCCGGGUGUUGUAGCCGGCAUGCGGUGGUGGCCCCCCGGGGCCGCUACCGUGCCACAACAUACCGUGAGUGUGCAGGAUGUGACCCGAAAGAUGGUGAACUAUGCCUGAUCAGGUUGAAGUCAGGGGAAACCCUGAUGGAGGACCGAAGCAGUUCUGACGU